GCAGGAAGGGAUAGGGUAAAUGGAGCGGCAUCUAAUGAGGAAAGAGGCAAAAUGCAUACUCAAAUGGAAAUGGAUAAUAUUGGACUGGACGAAGAUCCCGCC